UACGGAGGGUGCAAACGUUGCUCGGAAUCAUUGGGCGUAAAGCGCACGUAGGCGGCCUGAUAAGUCGGGUGUGAAAGCCCUGGGCUCAACCCAGGAAGUGCACUCGAAACUGUCAGGCUUGAAUAUGGAAGAGGGUCGCGGAAUUCCCGGUGUAGAGGUGAAAUUCGUAGAUAUUCGGAAGAACACCAGUGGCGAAGGCGACUUACUGGACAAAUAUUGACGCUGAGGUGCGAAAGCGUGGGGAGCAAACAGG
rnacentral:rRNA from 1 species